GAAAUUAAAAAAUCUAAAUCCUUAUCCCUCCCCUCGCUCACCCCCUCUCUGUUAGACUCACCCGCUCUGUCCCUCUUACUCUCACCCACGAAGCUUGUUCCCCUCUCACUCACCCACAAGCUCGCUGUCAAUAUUUUGCUCAGAUCUCAGCUAACGCAUCAUCAAAACAGCAACCAUGACGCUAGGCUGAGGAGGAUCCAGUGUCGUGGAUCAGUUUCUUUUCUGAUCUUGCCCUUUUUUGUUCAAUCUAUUUAUGCCCUGGAUUGAUUUAUUCUCUUUGUUUUGUUGUGUUUCUUGUUCUGGCAAAAUCUAUUUGUCUAAUUCACAUACGGGUCGCAGCCGUUGCUUUUAUUAUUUUAUAAUUUUUUUUUGGGUGGUUUUGUGUAGUCUUGUGAACAUUCUUUUUGGCAUAAAUGCAUCUGGGUUGCUACGUGCCUACAUUUGAUUGUUAAUUAGACCUGAUCCGUAAUUCUAUGCGUUUUUUGAAUUUUUGAUCGCGAAAUUAAGUUAAUUUAGUUUAAUAUUAUUAGAUUAUUGUCACCUAAAAUUAGUAUAUUUAAUCAGUUAAAGAAAUUCUUUUGACACGGACUUUAUGAAACCUUGUCUGUGAUACUUUGCUUAGCAAAGUAUUUGGAUUUUGGAUUUUGUUUCUAUUUAUAUUUUAAAAUUACUAGAAAUAAGGGUAUUUGAAGUUUGCAUAUAUGGUGUGUAUUAAGAUUUUCAAGUUGUUCUUCAAACAUAUUCUGGGUAGUUUGAUAUAUCGCAUGUUUCUGUGAAUUCUUUAGUUGAGGCAAUUGUUUUUGGUCUUAGCUGCAUUGUUAAGUUCUUUACCACAGAAUUCCCUAUUUUUCUUCUGCUAAUCCAGUAAUUACAGCUUCAUUCUAAGGUUCUUCAUUUUCUAUAAAGCAUAUAUUGCUUCAUUAACCCUCCUCUAAAAUAUGUUGCUAAUAUGUAUUUGAUUCAUUCCAAUCUUACAGAUCAUUGUUGGAUGCCGAAUCAGCAUACAAUGCUUACCAUUGUGAGAGAAAAAUGAACAACCAAUUGUCCAGUUCUUGUUCAAGAUUUGUGUAUUUUCGUUCAACAAUUUCGGCAUGGAUUCAAAAAUUGUGGCUUUCAAAAUGGGUUGGCUUCUAGAAUUUGCCAAUUUUUUCAAGACGAAAUAUUGAAGAAGCAAGCAUCAAAACAAAUCAAAAUUGUUCGAGAGACCCUAAACCUCCUCCUGAAAAUUCAUCAAUAUUGUUCAAAUUUAGAGUUACUCUGCAUCUUUAUUUGCUGAACUUCAUAAACAAAAAGACAACAGCUAAAAAGAUAAAAAGGCAAGCAACUCACAACAUGAAAAAGGGUAAAUGGCCAAACAACUUCUAACAACUCUUAUUAUGCUGUGUUUACAUUUUGGAUUUAGAUUCUGGAGUAGAAAGUUUUUAGAAUCAAUUUGUUUACUUUUCUUUGGAGUGAGCAGGCAAGGAGUGUCACUCUAUGGGUCUCAUUCAUUUUUUAAGUAAAGAUUGGGAUUCUCACUCCAAUUUGACCAAUCCAAUUUGAGUAGAGGUGGGCAAAUAACCCAAUCCAAUUUGACCAAAAAACUUGAGUUCAGAUCGAAUGUAGAUGAACUCUUCAAUCCAAUUGGGUAG
rnacentral:lncRNA from 1 species